rnacentral:rRNA from 1 species
GCCUGAGAAACGGCUACCACAUCUAAGGAAGGCAGCAGGCGCGUAAAUUACCCAAUCCUGACUCAGGGAGGUAGUGACAAGAAAUAACGGACCGAGGCUUUCGGGCUUCGGGAUUGCAAUGAGCCGAAUUUACACCCCUUAGCGAGGAUCGAUUGGAGGGCAAGUCUGGUGCCAGCAGCCGCGGUAAUUCCAGCUCCAAUAGCGUAUAUUAAAGUUGUUGCAGUUAAAAAGCUCGUAGUUGGAUUUCUGGGAGGGUGCCAAUGUCCGCCAGAGGCGUGCGCAGCGGCGCCCUUCCAUCCUUCUGUUAACAUCUCUUGGCAUUCAUUUGCUGGUGAUGGGCUCAGAUAUUUUACCUUGAGAAAAUUAGAGUGUUUCAGGCAGGCUAGGCCGGAAUACAUUAGCAUGGAAUAAUGGAAUAGGACUACGGUCUCUUUGUUGGUUUGAGGGACUGCAGUAAUGAUUAAUAGGGAUAGUUGGGGGCAUUAGUAUUUAAUUGUCAGAGGUGGAAUUCUCGGAUUUGUUAAAGACUAACUUAUGCGAAAGCAUUUGCCAAGGAUGUUUUCAUUAAUCAAGAACGAAAGUUAGGGGAUC